rnacentral:rRNA from 1 species
UAGGGAAUAUUGCACAAUGGAGGAAACUCUGAUGCAGCAACGCCGCGUGAGCGACGAAGGCCUUCGGGUCGUAAAGCUCUGUUGCAGGGGAAGAAAAAAAUGACGGUACCCUGUAAGAAAGGACCGGCCAACUUCGUGCCAGCAGCCGCGGUAAGACGAGGGGUCCUAGCGUUGUUCGGAAUCACUGGGCGUAAAGCGCAUGUAGGCGGCUCUAUAAGUCAGGUGUGAAAGCCCUGGGCUCAACCCAGGAAGUGCAUUUGAUACUGUAGAGCUUGAAUAUGGGAGAGGGUAGUGGAAUUCCUGGUGUAGUGGUGAAAUACGUAGAUAUCAGGAGGAACACCGGUGGCGAAGGCGGCUACCUGGCCCAAUAUUGACGCUGAGAUGCGAAAGCGUGGGGAUC